rnacentral:rRNA from 1 species
UACGUAGGGUGCGAGCGUUGUCCGGAAUUAUUGGGCGUAAAGGGCUCGUAGGCGGUUUGUCGCGUCGGGAGUGAAAACACUGGGCUUAACUCAGUGCUUGCUUCCGAUACGGGCAGACUAGAGGUAUGCAGGGGAGAACGGAAUUCCUGGUGUAGCGGUGAAAUGCGCAGAUAUCAGGAGGAACACCGGUGGCGAAGGCGGUUCUCUGGGCCUUACCUGACGCUGAGGAGCGAAAGCAUGGGGAGCAAACAGG